GAUGAACGCUAGCUACAGGCUUAACACAUGCAAGUCGAGGGGAAACGACAUCGGAAGCUUGCUUUUGAUGGGCGUCGACCGGCGCACGGGUGAGUAACGCGUAUCCAACCUGCCCACCACUUGGGAAUAACCUUGCGAAAGUAAGACUAAUACCCAAUGACGUCUCUAGAAGACAUCUGAAAGAGAUUAAAGAUUUAUCGGUGAUGGAUGGGGAUGCGUCUGAUUAGCUUGUUGGCGGGGUAACGGCCCACCAAGGCGACGAUCAGUAGGGGUUCUGAGAGGAAGGUCCCCCACAUUGGAACUGAGACACGGUCCAAACUCCUACGGGAGGCAGCAGUGAGGAAUAUUGGUCAAUGGACGGGAGUCUGAACCAGCCAAGUAGCGUGCAGGACGACGGCCCUAUGGGUUGUAAACUGCUUUUAUAGGGGGAUAAAGUGUGCCACGUGUGGCAUAUUGCAGGUACCCUAUGAAUAAGGACCGGCUAAUUCCGUG
rnacentral:rRNA from 1 species